AGAUUAACGCUGGCAGGAAAGAAAGCAGGAGUGCCCUUCAAACACGCUGCUGAAGGGCAACUGGAGGUUCCGGGGAAAUGUGAAGAAAGAAACGCAAACACCCCUAGGAACCAGAUUGCAUCUUGGAACUGAGGAGGUUCUGGAAGCUGUACACCCAAGGAAGACAUUCUGUGCCGGAGAGAGAGUGGGAGAGAUGUGACUGCUGCUGGCUGGGUGAGGACAGGCCCAGAGGACAGCAUCACUGGCACCCACCCCUGCAUUUGGGUCCUCUGCACCUCAGCUCCCAGCAUCUGGGCCUCCUCCCUGCCUGCCUCCCCCCCUCACUCAAUCUGUCUCCACUCAAGAGGCUGAUGGGCAGGUCUCCCUGCUUCUUCAAAUCUUUCAAAGGGAAACUUCACAAAGACAGGAGCCCUGACCCAUCCACCUUGGCCUCACCCCACCCCAGCACGGAAGCCAGGCGGCCAGUGGAGGCCGGUAGUGCUGAAUGGACAUGGGGCUGGAUGAAAAGACUUCCGCCUGCCUCUCUCAGCCCCGGAAUCGCCAUGAGCUGCUAUUCCGGAGAUUCUAUGCUACAGAAGUACAAGGUGAAGAAUGCAUACCGAUUACAUUGGCAAGGGAGAGAAGAGCCUGGUGCUAGCACUUUUGCUUCUUUGGUCUUUCAAUAAUGUCUUUCCCCUUGAUUAUACAUGAUAUAUUCCUAUUUUGGAAACUUCGAAAACUAUAAAAAAGUCAAAAGAAUAAUAUUACCACUCAGAAAUAAAGAUCAUCAAGUUUUGGUGUA
rnacentral:lncRNA from 1 species